rnacentral:rRNA from 1 species
UGGGGAAUAUUGGACAAUGGGCGAAAGCCUGAUCCAGCCAUGCCGCGUGUGUGAAGCAGGUCUUCGGAUUGUAAAGCACUUUAAGAUGGGAGGAAGGGCAUUAACUUAAUACGUUAGUGUUUUGACGUUACCGACAGCAUAAGCACCGGCUAACUCUGUGCCAGCAGCCGCGGUAAUACAGAGGGUGCAAGCGUUAAUCGGAAUUACUGGGCGUAAAGCGCGCGUAGGUGGGUUGUUAAGUUGGAUGUGAAAUCCCCGGGCUCAACCUGGGAACUGCAUUCAAAACUGACUGACUAGAGUAUGGUAGAGGGUGGUGGAAUUUCCUGUGUAGCGGUGAAAUGCGUAGAUAUAGGAAGGAACACCAGUGGCGAAGGCGACCACCUGGACUAAUACUGACACUGAGGUGCGAAAGCGUGGGGAGCAAACA